CGCCGAGGCAGGUCCCCAGCCUCCCAGCGGAUGGCUGCUCCCGGGAGGCGGCUUCCUGACUCCGUCUGGGUCCUCCGCCAGACUUUGUCCCCGGCACGUGUAGCAAUGAACAGAAGAGGCAACAUUUACCAGGUUUGAGAUCUAAUCCAUUUCAGCCGGGCAGCAUAAAUUGAUGAGUCUGCGUGCUGCCUGCAAGAUGUGUGUGUGAGAUCCUAUCCUCCAGUUCAUUCCUUAGGGAAGCGAGCAUCCUGAGGAUGGGGGAAAUUUCUUACCGGCGGUUUGAUACCCAGUAACGACAGUCAGAUGCCUCUGGAUGAUGAACCAGCCACAGUGUGAAGGCUUUUCAGGACAGGUAGGUUGAGCAAUGACAAGAGAAAUACUGCUCCCAGGACCAUAAAGGAACAGGGUAUAAUCUAACUCACAGCCAGUUUGCAGCAACUGGCAAGAAGUUGGGAGGUUGGCAGGUCCUGUCGCCUCAUUGUUCCCAUCACUUGUCAUCAGUCUGAGCUAAAUUCCCUUCCACCUUUACAUUGGUGCGGCUGUCUUGGCAGGGGCCAGUGGUAAUUUUCAGUGGUAAAAUAGUUAACAUUUUUUUUUCCUAGCCGGCCUAUUGCAUCUCACGGUGGUAAAACCACAAUGCUACUGGCAGAGUAUGGAGACUCCAGACAGGUGAUAAGUGGCCCUUUGGGUGACAGAUACAGGAAUCAGAGAAGAAUUGAAAGAGCAGUAAGGCUGUAGCAAGGCACAGUUCA